UACGUAGGGUGCGAGCGUUAAUCGGAAUUACUGGGCGUAAAGGGCUCGUAGGCGGCCAACUAAGUCAGACGUGAAAUCCCUCGGCCUAACCGGGGAACUGCGUCUGAUACUGGAUGGCUUGAGGUUGGGAGAGGGAUGCGGAAUUCCAGGUGUAGCGGUGAAAUGCGUAGAUAUCUGGAGGAACACCGGUGGCGAAGGCGGCAUCCUGGACCAAUUCUGACGCUGAGGAGCGAAAGCCAGGGGAGCAAACGGG
rnacentral:rRNA from 1 species